rnacentral:rRNA from 1 species
AUACGUAGGGGGCUAGCGUUACCCGGAUUCACUGGGCGUAAAGCGUGCGUCGGCGGCUCCGUAAGUCGGACGUGAAAGCUCCGGGCUCAACCCGGAGAGGUCGUCCGAAACUGCGGAGCUUGAGGACGGGAGAGGGGGGUGGAAUUCCCGGUGUAGCGGUGAAAUGCGCAGAUAUCGGGAGGAACACCAGUGGGGAAGCCGGCCCCCUGGCCCGCUCCUGACGCUGAGGCGCGAAAGCGUGGGGAGCGAAGGGGAUUAGAAACCCGAGUAGUCC